AGUAUGGUGUCUCAGGUGGAAUGCCAGAGAUUAAAAGGGAAUGUGGUGAAAUUCCGCAACAGCCCCCACUACUGUGAUAGAGGAUGAAAGCCGGCAAUGGAUAUACCAUUGGGCCUGUGGCCUGAGAAGGAAUCUGGUGAGUAAUAUGAUACUUAAGUCAGGAAACCUGCCAUAACUUU
rnacentral:ncRNA from 1 species